CACGUAGGGUGCGAGCGUUGUCCGGAAUUAUUGGGCGUAAAGAGCUCGUAGGCGGUGUGUCGCGUCGGCCGUGAAAACCUGCAGCUUAACUGUGGGCUUGCGGUCGAUACGGGCAUCACUGGAGUUCGGCAGGGGAGACUGGAAUUCCUGGCGUAGCGGUGAAAUGCGCAGAUAUCAGGAGGAACACCGGGUGGGCCGAAGGCGGGUCUCUGGGCCGAUACUGACGC
rnacentral:rRNA from 1 species